rnacentral:rRNA from 1 species
GAUGAACGCUGGCAGAAUGCUUAACACAUGCAAGUCGAACGAACUUUGCUGAUUGAUUUGAUGUAGCUUGCUAUUGAUAUGAUUGAAGCGCUAGUUAGUGGCGAACGGGCGAGUAACACGUUUCUAAUCCACCCCAGAGACGAGGACAACUACGGAGACGUAGCUAAACCUCGAUACGCUCUACAAAAUGAAAAUAUGUAGAGGAAAUAUUUAUAGCUCCGGGACGAGGAAGCGUCCUAUCAGGUAGUUGGUGAGAUAAUAGCCCACCAAGCCUAUGACGGGUAGCCGGUCUGAGAGGAUGUCCGGCCGCAAUGGAACUGAGACACGGUCCAUACCCCUACGGGGGGCAGCAGUGGGGAAUUUUGGACAAUGGACGAAAGUCUGAUCCAGCAAUUCUGCGUGCACGAUGAAGGCCUGCGGGUUGUAAAGUGCUUUUUUGAGGGUAAAACGACUGAUGGUACCUCAAGAAUAAGGGACGGCU